rnacentral:rRNA from 1 species
AUUGAACGCUGGCGGAAUGCUUUACACAUGCAAGUCGAACGGCAGCACGGACUUCGGUCUGGUGGCGAGUGGCGAAUGGGUGAGUAAUGUAUCGGAACGUGCCCAGUCGUGGGGGAUAACGUAGUGAAAAUUACGCUAAUACCGCAUACGAUCUGUGGAUGAAAGCGGGGGAUCGCAAGACCUCGCGCGAUUGGAGCGGCCGAUAUCAGAUUAGGUAGUUGGUGGGGUAAAGGCCCACCAAGCCAACGAUCUGUAGCUGGUCUGAGAGGACGACCAGCCACACUGGAACUGAGACACGGUCCAGACUCCUACGGGAGGCAGCAGUGGGGAAUUUUGGACAAUGGGCGAAAGCCUGAUCCAGCCAUUCCGCGUGCAGGAUGAAGGCCCUCGGGUUGUAAACUGCUUUUGUACAGAACGAAAAGGUUUCUACUAAUACUAGGAGCUCAUGACGGUACUGUAAGAAUAAGCACCGGCUAACUACGUGCCAGCAGCCGCAGUAA